rnacentral:lncRNA from 1 species
CAACAUAUGUGCCUUUAACACGCAGCAGCAUAAAAGCGUGCAUGCAACAUUUCCCCUACUACUGUUGGACAACGCGUCACCUAAUUCCGCAAAUUUUACAACGUAUUUGCCGACAAAAAAACCCUGAUAUACCAACAUUACAACCAACUAUUGUCCCUGUAUCAUUUCUAUUCUGCUACUCAUCUCUGCCAUAUACAGAAGUACAGGUCAUUCUUUUUCUUGUUUUGUUGCCAUGUCCGCAAACACCUAGGCAGUCCCUGCUACUUCACUGCAGCAGGACGCGGAAGAGGCCCGGCUGUGCCUGCGUGUACUGAAGGCCGUGCUCCAGGAGGUACUGCUCGAUGGCGGCGGUCAGCCUCGCAGGGGUACGGGGGUUAGAGAUAAUGAUGGCCUGGAGCCGGCGGCCCGUGGAACGGGCGAUCUUCCUCCGGUUGUUGAGUUCGUUGUUCAGGACGUGCAUCGCCUCACUUGCAUGAAGACCACAAAGAUCGAUCGCGGGAUUCUGCUCCUGGAUGAGGCCUUGCAACUCUGGCAUCUGGAAUCUGGUGAAGGCAAUCAAGAGAAUAUUAGCCAACAACUCGUUUACCAUUUAGUAAUCUAGAGAGAGAGAUCAUGAUGUGAGAAUCAUUUCACAACCGAGCAUCGUGGUUGAUUCAUUUGCGGGGUACUGGACUACGAUAUAGUAGAUGGGCAGUGACUGGCACUGAUUUAUUAAGUAAUAAUAUUAAGCAAUAGCAUUGACUGUGACUCAAAAGGAGGUAUACAGCAUACUCCAUAAUGGUACACAAAUGAUCUGGCUGGUAUUGUAGAAUUUCAAGAUCUUAAACUUUAAACUUCAAUGCAAGCUACCCAUACAAGUUGAAUUAUACUCCCUCCGUUUCUAAAUAUAAGACCUUUUAGAGAUUUCAAUAUGGACUACAUACGGAUGUAUAUAAAACAUAUUUUAGAGUGUAGAUUCACUCGGUUUGCUCCAUAUGUAGUUCCUAUUGAAAUCUCUAAAAGGUCUUAUAUUUAGAAACGGAGGGAGUAAUAUACAGAACAUAUUAUUUUGAUAAUAUAUGAACAAUUUCUUAUCUUAAACAGCAUUCAAAUAAAACAGGUAAGUUUUCAGAUAAUAAUAAUGCAUGCAAACCAAGUACUCCCUCCGUUCCUAAAUAUAAGUCUUUCUAGAAAUUCCAAUAUGGACUACAUACAGAGCAAAAUGAGUGAAUCUACACUCUAAAAUAUGUCUAUAUACAUCCCUAUGUAAUCCAUAUUGAAAUCUCUAAAAAAGACAUAUUUAGAAACGGAGGGAGUAUGUUUAAAGAAAAUCUUCUAUUGUUCACUCACAUAAAAAGCCCAAGCACUGUAUGCUCACCAAGAAGAAAGCCUGGUGUGGCAUUUUGAAUUAUGCAAAAUUAUAGACAUAACAGUUUGUAUGUGCAGACGUGUUCAUUCUUACACAAGAUAACAUUAUCGGAACAUAUAUAAAUGUGACUCAAAAAAUGUGAGAUGGAGGAAAUUAGUGCUGACCUCUGUUGAUAUAUAUUUUCUCUAGCCUUCUCCUGAGCUAAUCUGCUUUGGAUAGAGUACAGCUCCUUAAUAUUUAGUUCCUUUGCUAAAGGAUUGCCACCAGUUAGAAAAGCUUGUCUAUCCUGCUAAAAAAAAUUAGACAGCAGCACUGUGAGCAAACAUAACCACAAGUUGAGAAAACAGUGCUCGCAAUACAAGAUAUAUUUCGAGAGGCCGCUAUUGAAGUGGUGUAAAAAUCAGAGUAUUUUAGAUUCUGUGCGGUCCUUGUAUGACCAACAGCAAACACAAAAUAAAAUGUUCAUAGGAAAUUGGUCCAUAUAGCAUAGCUCCAGAACACACUAACAAAAACUCUCUUCCUAUGAGAUGUAGUUUUACUGGCAGUGAGUUCAUUUUAAAUGCCAUGAACAACUAUAGUUUCCAGGUCUAGGUUCCUGUAAUUGUUACUACAUGGUGAGUGACGACCAUCAGUUCAUACUGCAGUAGAAUAAAAGAUGCUACUAAAAAAUUAUGGUAGUAAUUAAAUUAUGUGCAUUAUCACUACUAUACUACUUUCACUAACAUAAAAUUACCAUAUAUACUCACAAUAACUACGGCUCAAUUCCAACAAUCUGGUUUCCAGAGUAGUAUAUCUACCUGUUCAAGAAGUGCAUGUCUUAGACUUGCAAAAUCAUGAACUUCAUCCUUUUCCAAAAACAUGUUAGCUGUCAUAAGAAAAUUCAAACAAUAAGGCAACUAGGCAUCUGUGCUGCCACAGGUUCAUAAAAAAAACAUGUAUCAUAAUUCAAGAACACUACCCGUAGCAUCUGUGUCGAGCCAAGUUUGUCCCGUUUGAACUCCAGCAAUGUUUUGC